rnacentral:rRNA from 1 species
CCUACGUGUGGCAGCAGUGGGGAAUAUUGCACAAUGGGGGAAACCCUGAUGCAGCGACGCCGCGUGAGUGAAGAAGUAUUUCGUUAUGUAAAGCUCUAUCAGCAGGGAAGAAAAUGACGGUACCUGAGUAAGAUGCCCCGGCUAACUACGGCCCAGCAGCCGCGGUAAUACGUAGGGGGCAAGCGUUAUCCGGAUUUACUGGGUGUAAAGGGGGCGUAGCCGGGAGUGGAAGUCUGGAGUGAAAGGCGGGGGCUCAACCCCCGGACUGCACUGGAAACUGUACGUCUGGAGUGCAGGAGAGGUAAGUGGAAUUCCUAGUGUAGCGGUGAAAUGCGUAGAUAUUAGGAGGAACACCAGUGGCGAAGGCGGCUUACUGGACUGUAACGGACGGUGAGGCGCGAAAGCGUGGGGAGCAAACAGGAUUAGAUACCCCAGUAGUC